rnacentral:rRNA from 1 species
AUUGAACGCUGGCGGCAUGCUUUACACAUGCAAGUCGAACGGCAGCACGGGGGCAACCCUGGUGGCGAGUGGCGAACGGGUGAGUAACACAUCGGGACGUGUCCAGUUGUGGGGGAUAACCCAUCGAAAGGUGGGCUAAUACCGCAUGAGCUGGCAACAGGAAAGCGGGGGACCCGCAAGGGCCUUGUGCGAUUGGAGCGGCCGAUGUCCGAUUAGCUAGUUGGUGGGGAAAGGCCUACCAAGGCUUCGAUCGGUAGCUGGUCUGAGAGGAUGAUCAGCCACACUGGGACUGAGACACGGCCCAGACUCCUACGGGAGGCAGCAGUGGGGAAUUUUGGACAAUGGGGGCAACCCUGAUCCAGCCAUGCCGCGUGAGUGAAGAAGGCCU